rnacentral:rRNA from 1 species
CAAGAGCGUAUGUAAAAGUUGUUGCAGUUAAAAAGCUCGUAGUUGAACCUUGGGUUUGGUUGGCCGGUCCGCUUUUUUGCGAGUACUGGAUUCAACCGAGCCUUUCCUUCUGGCUAACCAGUCGUUUCGGCGGCUGGCGAACAAGGAUUUUUACUUUGAGAAAAUUAGAGUGUUCAAAGCAGGCAUUAGCUUGAAUAUAUUAGCAUGGAAUAAUAGAAUAGGACGUUAUGGUUCUAUUUUGUUGGUUUCUAGGACCAUCGUAAUGAUUAAUAGGGACGGUCGGGGGCAUCAGUAUUCAGUUGUCAGAGGUGAAAUUCUUGGAUUUACUGAAGACUAACUACUGCGAAAGCAUUUGCCAAGGACGUUUUCAUUAA